rnacentral:misc_RNA from 1 species
UUGCGCUGUGCUCACCCGCUAAAGACAUUGGAGGGGGGGGGGCAAACCCCUCAGUGCGUGGUGGCAUGGCAUGGCACGGCUCCGUACCUCCCUCCAUCCCCUUCCACUCGGUGUGGGGAAGCCGAGCAGCCCUCCCCCAUCCCCCUGCCAAAUGCCGAGCUGCUUCUGGCGAUGAGACGGUCACGCGCCUACGAGGCAGGGGUGUCGCGGUGAUUUAUCGCUACUAAUACCGGCACUAAGGUCCUGGAUGGCGUUGCGUCGGAGCGACCGGCGACGGUGAGCACUCGUGUGCCAUCCAUAUGAUUAGGCAGAGUGCCCACCUGACUCGGACGCAUCCCACCCCCGGCCCUCACGCGCUGCCCACUGGUAUCGGGGGAACCUGAGUGCCACCGCGCGGGGGACGCGCCACGUGGCGACCGGCACGAUGGGGGAGCGGCUAUGGGGUGGUUGGGUAUCGCACGAGGCAGAGGCCGUGCUCUCCGAUGACUGGGUCGGCGCACUGCUGUUUCACGUCUGUCUGUGGCCGCUUCGCACCACGCGAUGUGGAGCCUGUGACAGGGCCGCGGGAGCGGUGAUGUAGCGUUUGAUCUCGUGCUUCGUGGCAGCGAACGGGCACGUCGAAUAUGACACGAAAAAAAAAAAAAAACAGAGAGAUGCGGCUGCAGCCUCCCCUUUCUUCCGUCCCGGCUUUCUGAAAGCCUUUUUUAGUUGUUUUUCGUCGGUUGUCCCUAUUUCUGGACUUUCGCCUCUGUUUGCUCGUGUAUGACUGGCUGCACCUCUGGCUGUCAGCACCGGCAGGAAACAGUGGUCCAUACACGGACCUGUGAGCACCUCUCGUGUAUGAUGCGUGCGUGCGUAAAUGUACGCCUGUGCUUUACUUUUCCCCCUUUUCACUGCGACACCACGGCGAAACUCAGCAUGCCGUAUACUUCGGAGCACGUUCAAGAAGGGUUUUGUGUUGUUUUCAUUUUUUGUUUGUUUUUCGAAGUUACAAGGAAUCACAUUUCACCGAUUCCGCCACCCGCCUCGCGUCUUGCCUCUCUUCUUCACUCGUGAAUCUCCUCGUUGACGGCCCCGAGUGGAAGUGCGGUUGCCGAGGUGCCCGUAGGUCGAGACCCCAAGGCACGGGCGAGUCAUUUUUUUUUUCUAUCGUUGCUCUCGUUUUUGCGCUUGAUUCGCUUCGCAGGCUCAUCUGACCGUGCAACUCUUUUUCCUCCUUUGGUGACACAUAAAGCAUCCGUGUAUCCUGAGUGAGUGUGUGUGUGUGUGUAUGCUGUGGUGGGUUCCUUUCACGCACGUACACGCACGGCACUCUUCGCAGCUUCGUGGAUGCACCACAUCCUUCCCUGACAGCAACGCUUUUCGUCCAUGUCUCGUACUGCAUCACUCUCCUUUGUUUUGGCUCCACUCCUAG